AGUCGGUCACAGGAUCUCCAAAAUGGACUCUGUGAAUGGCUCUUGAAUGCCCUGUUUGGACAGUUCAAAAAUACAUCAAUUUUUUAUUAUUGUUAUGAUGUUCUUUGUUCUAUUAUGAAAAAUUUCAUCGUAGUUAUCUUGUUUGUUCUUCAGGUACAUAUUAGAUAUGGUUAAAAUAUGAUCCAUCUAUAUCAUGUACUUGGAG
rnacentral:lncRNA from 1 species